UCACACCUUCACUUCAGUAUCAUUACAGUAUGGCUUUCACAUGUCACUGCGGUGUGGAACUUACAGGAGUUAUACCCCUGUUUCAGCACCUGAGGCGGUGCGUCAAGCGCCGCCUCUUUCUUAUAAUAUAUUGUGACAAAUGUGGAGAAAGGCUGGUGGGAGGCCAGGCCGUGGCCGCACACCUGGCGGGUGCGGCCCAUCGAACCCGUUACUGGGAGGGCCGGCAAGUCGGGCUGCUGUUGCAGUCCGACUACCGGGACGCCAUGGAGCGUAUCCGGACCCUAUGAUGAUGAUGUAUGUAUGAAGGUCUGGAGCUAGCUGCCGUCUUCGGGAUGUGCCAUUUGUUUUCAAAAUUAUUUACUCAUCCAAGUCAAUUUAAAUAAAAGUGUAUUAUAGUAAA